rnacentral:lncRNA from 10 species
CCCAGGCAGACAGGCCCCUCUGUGGAAAGAGCUGUUUGUCAUGGCUAAAGGGAAGAUUAACCAAAGGAAAGGGGACGGCAAGCCAGCCUGUGUCGCAGCGGCUGGUGACCUGGAUUCCUGCCCCUCUUCUGGACCGAGUGGCUGUGCCAGUGUGGGCAUGGGGCCCAAGGCUGCCGGCCUCCCAGGCAUUCACAUUCCACUCCCAGGAGCCCACAGCCUCUAGUGCUGCAGAGCUCCUGCCAGCCUGAUUGGAGCAGCUUAUGACAUGACAGUGGCCAGAAUGACACAGACCUCAGUCCCAUAACCGUCCCUCCAGCUCCCAUUUUCCGAGAGCCUGCUAGGUCCUACACAGAGUCCGGGGGGCGCAUUUCGCAUAUAGCAGCUCUAAUCAUCACGGAAGCCCUGCCAGGUGGGGAAGAGGAUGGGGCAUGAAAGACCAGUGGAAGAAAUGGGAAUUCCUCAGGCUGAGGGAAUAAAAGGUCAUACUGUUAACUGCUCACUCUGCUGCCUCGAGGCUGGACUUUCAGACAUCCUACUUCUCAGCCCGGGAUUCUCUGUGCUGGACUCCACUUCUCACAUCUACAGGCCCUUUUGGGUGGUUGAUGAAGGACCUGGAAGCUGAUUUCCUAAGAGUGAAUAACUUGGUGCCCUGAAGCUGACCCCUCAUCCACUAUAAACUGUCGAUGCUGGGUUGGUAUAGUGCCUUUGGAAAGCAGUAAAGCAAUUACCAGCAAAAGGCAUGAAGCUCUUCCUCCCCCUUUGACCCAGUAAUCUCUUUCCCUGGGAAAUUAUUCCAAGGAAAUUAUCCAAACGAAGCCAAGUGUUAUCUGCAUACAUGUGUGCAUUGAAGUCUUUCUUUAAAGGUCAAAAACUGGGAACCACAAUAAGGAAGUGGUUUAAUAAACUGGGACAUCAACACAAUGGACAAUCAGGCCUGGAAAUCCACAGCUGUGUGACUGUGAUGGGGAAUGGAAACAUGGAGAAUGCUUCUACUACACAGUGUAUCACCACUACACUCCCACCUAACUAGCUAAUUCAACAAAUCACGCUUGUCAAGGAGAGAGAAGUCUCUCUGUUCAUGUUCAAAAUAAACUCAGCCUCUGACACCACAAAGGAACAGAAGAGAAGCUUAAAUGCAACAAACACAAUAAGCUCAAUAAUUCUUGGCUUUUGAGUUUCCAAGGCCACAGGUCCUGAUGAUGUAUGACAUUUUCUGAGAGUGAUUUUGAUGAUUGGUUAUUGAUGAUUUUCACCUUUCACACUGUACUUGUUAUUAAGCCAUCUAAUUCAUCAUAUUAAAUUUUGUUAAGAUACCUGGUGUGGUUUCUGUUUUCUGGCCAGACUCUGAUACAUACACAGACCAUGGACCCUGAUGAAUGAUAUCUCCCCCAUAAUGAUAAGUGAUUUUUUAAGACUUCAAAAUUAGUGCACCCACCAUGAUUUCAACUUAUACAAAUGUAUACUUAAGGAGGGUACAGGUAUGGCUGGUCUCCUCCAAAUUAUACUUUGUACUAGUUGCCUCUUGAUGCAUAAUAAAGUACCCUAAAGCUCAGUGUCUUGAAACAACAACUUUUAUCAUCUCACAGUUUCUGUGGGUCACAGAUCCAGGUGCAGCUUAGCUGAGUCCUCCACUUCAGCACCUCUGCAGGCUGCAGUCAAGCUGUCAGCUGAGCUGGAGUCAUCUCAAGGCUCAAUUGGGGACCCAAUACCAAGCUUACUCGAGUGGUUGCUGGCAGGAUUCAGUUCCUCGUGGACCACUGGAUUCAAGGCCCCGAUGCCCUUCACUGCCUGUGCCCUCUGUUCCUCAGCACGUUGGCCGUUCCAUGGGGCAGCCUCCAACAUGGCAGCUGCUUCAUCAGAACACAUAAGAAAGAAGUCUCGAAGAGUGUGAGCAGGAGGGGAGUCCCAGUUUUGUAUAGUCUAAUCUCAAAAGUGACAUUCCCCCACUUUUACCAUAUUUUACUCAUUAGGAGCAAGUCACCAGGUCCAGCCUACACUCAGGGGAGGGGAUUACACAAGGACGCGUGGUAUGCCUACCACAUACUUGAACAUUUAUAGCAUCUUCUCAAUAACAAAAACAGUAUUUUCUCAAGUUACUUGUCUAAUAUGGAAACUUUCUAAAUCCGUUGGUAAAUGCCCACACCCAUUUCUCUCAAGCAACAGCCCCCUGGUCCCCCUGGUCCCCCGCCCCCACCAGACUUAGUGGAAAGUCCCUGCUGGGUGAGUGAGUGGCUUUUUGCCAGAUUGGGGGUGGGGUGGGUGGCAGGAUGGAGGCAACAUGGGCACCUUCAGAGAUCAAACAUCAGAGGAGGGAGGCAACUCAGGACUCGCCUUUGAAAAAGGUUCAGUUGGUGCCUGCCCCAGGCCAUUACCAUUGCUUUAGGCUGAAUUCUUAACCAGCCCAACAAGGCCUGGCCAGAUGUGGCUCCGCCUGCUUUCUCCAAGCUCAACUCGCCUUUCUGUUCGCUCUCCACACGCUAACCACAGUGGCCUCUUCUCUGGCCUCAGACAGGCCAGGCUCUUCUUCUCC